GAGUUUGAUCCUGGCUCAGGAUGAACGCCGGCGGUGUGCCUAAUACAUGCAAGUCGUACGCACUGGCCCAACUGAUUGAUGGUGCUUGCACCUGAUUGACGAUGGAUUACCAGUGAGUGGCGGACGGGUGAGUAACACGUAGGUAACCUGCCCCGGAGCGGGGGAUAACAUUUGGAAACAGAUGCUAAUACCGCAUAACAACAAAAGCCACAUGGCUUUUGUUUGAAAGAUGGCUUUGGCUAUCACUCUGGGAUGGACCUGCGGUGCAUUAGCUAGUUGGUAAGGUAACGGCUUACCAAGGCGAUGAUGCAUAGCCGAGUUGAGAGACUGAUCGGCCACAAUGGAACUGAGACACGGUCCAUACUCCUACGGGAGGCAGCAGUAGGGAAUCUUCCACAAUGGGCGCAAGCCUGAUGGAGCAACACCGCGUGAGUGAAGAAGGGUUUCGGCUCGUAAAGCUCUGUUGUUGGAGAAGAACGUGCGUGAGAGUAACUGUUCACGCAGUGACGGUAUCCAACCAGAAAGUCACGGCUAACUACGUGCCAGCAGCCGCGGUAAUACGUAGGUGGCAAGCGUUAUCCGGAUUUAUUGGGCGUAAAGCGAGCGCAGGCGGUUGCUUAGGUCUGAUGUGAAAGCCUUCGGCUUAACCGAAGAAGUGCAUCGGAAACCGGGCAACUUGAGUGCAGAAGAGGACAGUGGAACUCCAUGUGUAGCGGUGGAAUGCGUAAAUAUAU
rnacentral:rRNA from 1 species